UCACUCUUGGAAUGAAAUGGGUUCAUCCAGGCUGAAGGGAGAGACAUCAACAGUCAUAUGGGCAGAGGCAAUGAUUCAAAAUGUAGCAGUAAAUGAACAUGGAAACACAUUUACUGAAACACAUGGCUAAGGGGCUUGAAAUGUCAGUCCUUAGGUCCUAGAACAGGGCUCUCGGUAAAUCCUGGCUGAAGGGUGACUGCUUUUAUUAUUCCAAAUAUUUCCUGGUGUCUGAGAUGCACAGUGAAAUAUUCUGCAAUAAGACGGAGCCAAUCUACUGAGAUACAAAGGACAGAAUCCAUCUAUAAGACUUCAAUAUUGCAGAUCAAAGCAUCUACUUGAGACUCAACAAGGGAAGGAAGACUAAGAU